CGACUAGUUAGCGAAUUAUAAGUUAUGCCUCUUGAUAAACCAGAAUUCCUACCUAGCGACUACUAACACAAACUGUUUUCACAUAUCUCGCGAUAAAUUGCGAAAUCUCUUUCAUCUUACCUCAUUCACUGGUCUUAUUCGGUCAACAGUGCGGUAAUUAUGCUGCAACGUUACAGCUUUUUCUAGUUUGUUUGACACACGCGAGCAGUACAACCUUGUGUAUGCCAUGGUAUCUCCAUGGCAACGACGGGAGGUAGCAUAAAGGUGGCUUGACGUUGGACGCCCCAUAUUCGAAUGUUCGGUGUUUGAAAUGAACCCGUAAGAACCCACGGUGACACAGGUGUCACAAAUACUGGGGUGUGCUGGAAAGGUCCUUUUAAAGCGUUAUCCCUGACUUUUUAACUCAGGAAAUCCCUAAGUAACAUCAACUGAACAGCCAGACCCUGCUAUCAUCUCUACAUUUCACUGACAAGACUGAUUUGUCAAACAGGUGACACUGGGGAAAAAACAGCACUUGGCAUAGGAGGUGACAUUGUGGUUGAACUGUGUGAAACUCUCCCAUCAAACCAAAACUACAAAGGAUUUGUGGACAAUUUUUUUUUCCUCUCCAGCACUGGUUCUCCAGCUUCUUCAGCGACAGAUCUACUUUGUAGGAACACUCCAUUGCAAUCGCUUAGCUGGUUGUCAGCUUGAAAAUGAGAAGUUUUGCCAAGCAAGGGACAUGUUUUUACAAUGUUGUUGCACUAUUUACAUGUUUAGCUUGUUGAGAAGACCUCCAGUGUGAGGUAGUUAUUUAUUUUAUUCAGUUUGCACAUAUUCAUGUUUUAAUUUGUGGUUAAGCCUUUCCCGAAAAGUUAUCAUUUUGAUAUGUUAUGGAAAUGCAAGUAAAAAGGCUGUUUUUUUUGUUUGUUUGUUUUUUUUUUCCUUUUCAAAUUAAGUUGUUGUAUAACUACAUAACUAUAACCAUCAAAGUUAUAGUUUUGAGAUGUGGAAAAAAACUCUGAAAAAUUGUUUUUAAACUUAAUGGUCACAGUUAUGUAGUUUUAAAAUAUGUUGUGGUAAAGCAAAUAAAAUGCUAAAACUAUUCUGAAAAAUAUUUUUGUUAUAC
ensembl:lncRNA